GUGGGGAAUCUUCCGCAAUGGACGAAAGUCUGACGGAGCAACGCCGCGUGAGUGAAGAAGGUUUUCGGAUCGUAGAGCUCUUUCGUUAGGGACGAACGUGCUCUUCGUGAAUAAUGAGGAGUAAUGACGGUACCUAAAUAAGAAGCCACGGCUAACUACGUGCCAGCAGCCGCGGUAAUACGUAGGUGGCAAGCGUUGUCCGGAAUUAUUUAGCGUAAAGCGCGCGCAGGCGGGAUAUCAAGUCGGUCUUAAAAGUGCGAGGCUCAACCUCGUGAGGGGACAGAAACUGGUAUUCUUGAGUGUCGGAGAGGAAAGUGGAAUUCCAAGUGUAGCGGUGAAAUGCGUAGAGAUUUGGAAGAACACCAGUGGCGAAGGCGACUUUCUGGACGAUGUCUGACGCUGAGGCGCGAAAGCUAGGGGAGCGAACGGGAUUAGAAACCCGUGUAGUCC
rnacentral:rRNA from 1 species